CACAGACGCGCCUCACCGGGAGAAAAAAACACCGGGGACACAGCGGAGAGAUGGCGACCGGUGCGUUCACGGCCGCGGACACAAGACCCUGCUGCGCGACGGCAUACGCACGAGCAUAUUCCUCUGAGCCCCCCCACCCCGUGACGCACACUACUCCCUCACGAGGACCCCCUGAUUCCUGUUCAUGUGCAACAACACAACAACAAGGAUCCCCACAUCUAAUGUCCGCAGCACCGAGCUGUCCGAGGCUCCACAAACGAGACAUGAAUUACCUCCCCGCCGCGCGGGAGAUGGAGAGCCAUGUGUCCCGCGGACCCUCCGGGAGACUCACACCGGAGAGGGCUCGUGGAAGUUAACGUGACCGUAUCCACCUGUGACUGCGGCGAUGCCCGGGAGGUGGACUCCGAUCCUGUCAUAUUCACCUGAUUGUCCCUCAUUCCCUUCACCUGGUCCUCACGCCCUUCUCACCUGCAGCCCAUCCCCUCAUUAGUCCCUCACUAUUUAACUCCCUCACUUCCACUUGUCCUCUGCCAGAUUGUCUUGUGUGUCACCACCAAACUCUCCAGUGAAUUCCUAGUACUAGUUCUGAUCUGCCUGUUACGACCCUGUUUGCCUGUUCACCCGACUUGAGAUUUUUGCCUGCCCCUUUUUGGAUUUGUUGCCCUGUUUGACUGACCACCCGGUUUUGACCCUGCCUGAAAUACAGUAAACUGCCUCCUCCUGCAUUCCUGUGUUUGUUGUGCUUUUGGGUUCCAGUACCUGUAACCUUUACAGAUAUAAUGGUGAUAUUAAUCAUAUUUCUUUCUUAUUUAUAUUUAAAUAAAUGAAUAAAUAUAUAUGUAUAUAUCAUUUAACAUUUUGACAAAAUCAUAAGAGAGAGAUAGAUCAAAAUGUUGUCUGCAACAUGUUGUAUUCCCUGUAAAUUGUUGGUAUAAUGGUUGCAAUAAAAUGUUGACUUUUAUUUCAA